AAUCAACGCUGGCGGCGUGCCUCAGACAUGCAAGUCGAACGAUUAAAGCUCUCUUCGGAGAGUGCAUAGAGUGGCGCACGGGUGAGUAACACGUAAGUAAUCUACCUUCGAGUGGGGAAUAACGUCCGGAAACGGGCGCUAAUACCGCAUAAUGCAGCGGCAUCGCAAGAUGACAGUUGUUAAAGGAGCAAUCCGCUUGAAGAGGAGCUUGCGGCAGAUUAGCUAGUUGGUAGGGUAAUGGCCUACCAAGGCUACGAUCUGUAACCGGUCUUAGAGGACGGUCGGUCACACUGACACUGAAUAACGGGUCAGACUCCUACGGGAGGCAGCAGUCGGGAAUUUUGGGCGAAUGGGGGAAACCCGUAGACCCAGCAACGCCGCGUGAAGGAUGAAGUAUUUCGGUAUGUAAACUUCGAAAGAAUAGGAAGAAUUAAUGACGGUACUAUUUAUAAGGUCCGGCUAACUACGUGCCAGCAGCCGCGGUAAAGU
rnacentral:rRNA from 1 species